GCGGCCACGGGCAACCCGGAGCUGCUGCGCUCCUCGGACGGGCGCCAGUGGACAGGCUUCGUUCCCGUGUCGGAGGGGACCACG
rnacentral:tRNA from 1 species